rnacentral:rRNA from 1 species
UACAGAGGGGGCAAGCGUUGUUCGGAAUUACUGGGCGUAAAGGGCGCGUAGGCGGCCUGUUAAGUCGAACGUGAAAUCCCCGGGCUCAACCCGGGAACUGCGUCCGAUACUGGCAGGCUUGAAUCCGGGAGAGGGAUGCGGAAUUCCAGGUGUAGCGGUGAAAUGCGUAGAUAUCUGGAGGAACACCGGUGGCGAAGGCGGCGAUCCUGGACCGGUAUUGACGCUGAGGUGCGAAAGCGUGGGGAGCAAACAGG